UGGAAGAGAUACAUUGCUAUUUACAGAUUGCAAACCACACGAAUACAAUUUAAAAAUUGCUACCUGAUAGCAUUUUUUCUCUUUUUCAGCCUCCAAAUUAUUCUUAAACCUAGUAACCACUAUAGCACAAUCUGAUAUCUUUUACACAGUCUGUAUUCUUUCAUUUUUCCAUACAUUUAAAAAAUCUUAUAAAUGCAGAGAUAUUCCAUUUUCCUAGAAAUAACCAGAAUUUUCAGGGGAUAGUUACCUUACUCUUUUCACUAUCUGAGCAUGGUCCAAUAGAAAUAUAAUGUGAAUUAAUAUGCUCCCCAUCAUGUCUACAGCCCCUUUAUUUAUGCCAGGAAAUUCUUGAUAAAUGAGUCUUAGCCAAGUUUAUAUUAAUUACAUGUUGUAAAAUACCCCAGUUUCUACAGGGCUCAAUCAAGUGCUUCAUGUUACUUGACACUCCCAGUCACCAAACAUGUAUUCAUUGAUCAUUGACUUUGUGCCUGGGUGAUUGUUUUCCAACCCUAUAUAAAGAAAUAAAAACAAAUUCAGCAAUCAGCAAUGCAAAAUUCAGUGUCUGGCAUUCAAUAUAAUAUUAUUAAGCAUGCAAUAAGGCAGGACCCAUAACCAAGAGAAAAAUCAAUCUAUAGAACAAAUUCCCAAAUGACAGAGGUGACUGAAUUAGCAGAAAAUAUGUGAAAAUGUAUAUUAAAAUAUGUUUACUCAAGAAUUUAGAUCUAUCAAACUUUUAACCAAAGAG
rnacentral:lncRNA from 1 species